GGAUUCUAAAUUAAACUAUCUUCG
rnacentral:tRNA from 1 species